GUCGUCUAAUAGGUGCCCUUCACUAACCAAGUUACUCACACAGCUGAAGCGGAAACUCACGACACGUUUCAAUCUUCUAUUGUAGAAGAAAAAGUGGUAAGACCAUAUGGCUCCUUUCUCGAGAAAUGGAUCUGCAUCUGCCUCCGGAUUGUAAGUGUAGAGUUCACAUUCAGCAACUUUUACAACCUCAUCUAAAGCCUUGUACAAGGUUUCAAGCAGAGCACUGCCUUCAUUUGCGUCAAGCCAUUCCUUUGAAGCCUCAAACAUGUAGACAUCAAAUAUCUGCUUAAAACUGUCCCAGCUCUCUUCAGUGAAAAACUGGUGAGCAUUCACUGCACUG
rnacentral:misc_RNA from 1 species